rnacentral:rRNA from 1 species
UACGGGGGGGGCAAGCGUUGUUCGGAAUUACUGGGCGUAAAGGGCUCGUAGGCGGCCAACUAAGUCGGAUGUGAAAUCCCCAGGCUUAACCUGGGAACUGCAUCCGAUACUGGAUGGCUUGAAUCCGGGAGAGGGAUGCAGAAUUCCAGGUGUAGCGGUGAAAUGCGUAGAUAUCGGGAGGAACACCUGCGGUGUAGACGGCUUACUGGACCAUAACUGACGCUGAGGCACGAAAGCGUGGGUAGCAAACAGG